ensembl:snRNA U6 U6 spliceosomal RNA
GUGCUCACUUCAGCAGCACAUAUACUAAAAUUGAAAUGAUACAGGGAAAAUUAGCAUGGCCCCUGCACAAGGAUGACACAUAAAUUUGUGAAGCAUUCCAUGUUUUU